ACUAAAGCAUAUUUAAGAGCUUUACCAAUACGCAACCAUCAGCUACAUUGCCACUGUCAAUGAUUUAAAAAAAUGAAAGAAAAGUUACUUUUCCACCCUGAUUUCAGUGAGCUGUUUAAGCCAGUUAGAACCAAGAACAGCAUCAUACACAGCUGUAGAAAUGGUUAUGGAAAUGUCCUGAUGCAAAUAGUGCUUCCCCUGCAAGGCUUGUGAGGGAGUGUCUAUCCAGCAAAAUCAAGAACAGAAGACUGUGGUGCACAUCUUCUUGGCCAUGUGGAUGCCUACUUCAAUCCAAAGCAGGAUUCCUAAGGAUUAUAUUAUUGUUCCUCUUUGGCCACAACAGCAGUGAAACUGCUGAUUCCCUCCAAAUCUGGCACCAGAGAAGUGUUAGCCCAGAGAAAAUACUUCAAGAAUGUAAGGACUAACUAAAACUAAACCAUAUCAUUAAGAACAUCAUCCAGACACUCCUGGAAGUCUUACAUGUUUGGUGCCAUGACCACUCCCCUGGGGAGCCUGUUCCAGUGGCUGACCACCUGCUCAGUAGAGAACCUUCUCCUAAUGUCCAAACCUACUACCUUAUUCUGCUGCACUACUUUUUACCUGUAAAAUUCUGUACUUUUCAUGGCUUGGAGUCUUUGAAUCAAAAUUGUACAUUGAUGUAAAAGUUACACUGUAAGUUCUACACAAGUUAUAAGCAUUAUACAGAAAUUCUCUGGUGUGGUUCUAAAGCCUGUGUGAUUCCAAAUUGUGGACAAUGUAAUUGAUAUUACACUAUGUGUAACCCAAA